rnacentral:rRNA from 1 species
ACUCAAAGGAAUUGACGGGGGCCCGCACAAGCGGUGGAGCAUGUGGAUUAAUACGUCACUAACCGUAGAACCUUACCCAGGCUUGACAUCCCGGGAACCUCUCUGAAAGGAGGGGGUGCCCUUCGGGGAGCCCGGAGACAGGUGUUGCAUGGCUGUCGUCAGCUCGUGUCGUGAGAUGUUGGGUUAAGUCCCGCAACGAGCGCAACCCUCACCGCCUGUUGCCAGCACGGACCUGUCCGGUUGGGCACUCUGGCGGAACUGCCCGGGCAACCGGGAGGAAGGUGAGGAUGACGUCAAGUCAGCAUGGCCCGUACGCCUGGGGCUUCACACAUGCUACAAUGGCCGGUACAGAGGGCACCGAGGCCGUGAGGCGGAGGCAAUCCCAAAAAGCCGGUCCCAGUUCGGAUCGCAGGCUGCAACUCGCCUGCGUGAAGGCGGAAUCGCUAGUAACCGCCGGUCAGCUAAACGGCGGUGAAUACGUUCCCGGGCCUUGUACACACCGCCCGU